AGUCCUAUGGUCUAGUGGUAUGACGGUCCCUUCACUUUGAUACACCAUGUGGAAGUCCGGGACAGGUCCUGGGUUCGAUCCCCAGUGGGACUA
rnacentral:tRNA from 1 species